AUUCCAGCUCCAAUAGCGUAUAUUAAAGUUGUUGCAGUUAAAAAGCUCGUAGUUGGAUCUCGGGAGCGAGCGAGCGAGCGGUCGGGCGUUCAGCCGUGUACUUCUCACUCAUCCUACUGACCGGUACGUGCCCUGUGCUCUUAACCGAGUGUAGGGACCGUCUGGUGCGUUUACUUUGAAAAAAUUAGAGUGCUCAAAGCAGACGAGUCGUCUGAAUAGCCGUGCAUGGAAUAAUGGAAUAGGACCUCGGUUCUAUUUUGUUGGUUUUCGGAAGUCGAGGUAAUGAUUAAGAGGGACAGACGGGGGCAUUCGUACUGGGCCGCCAGAGGUGAAAUUCUUUAACUGGCUCAUGACGAACAACUGCGAAAGCAUUUGCCAAGAAUGUUUUCAUCA
rnacentral:rRNA from 1 species